AUAAAAUAGCAUGUGAAGAGGCUUUAAGCACCAUAUGCUGAUGGGCCUGGGGAAGUCCAGACAGGCCCCUCCUGGGGUACUUGCUUCUGUUUCUCAGGUUGCAUUAUGGGCCCUUUUCCUCCUUUCACUUGGGCCUGGCCACCAACCUCCUUUAAUCCCAUGAUCUGUACCCUGCCCUGAGGUGUACUGGUUCCUUGUUGAGAAACUAAAGCUGGGAACAUGAUUGACUUAACCCUUCAGGUAUUGUUACUUAGGCAAGUCAAGUACCUGGCCUCACCCACCUAUGCUGUCCCUCUCCCAGCCUAACUGGUAUGGUAGUCUUGGCCAUGGAAACCUAGGCCUGCCCCUUUCCUCCUGACCCACCAGGGGUAUUCAUUGGCAGGAGCUGGAGCACAUGCCCCC